UAGUCAGCGACUCUUCUUUCUUCUAGGACUGGCGGUGUAGAUCAACUCGCUCUGAGCUUGUUGCCUAGAAGCUUGACCCUAGCAACCCUAAUUCUGUUUGCAAGUAAACUCACGCCAAUAAUGAAUGCUAGUGUUCUGAUGUCAUGUUGCAAUAGGUAUUUGGAGAGAAAAACUCUAUAUUUCAGUAUGAAUAUGCUUUAUACACUCUUUCUAUUCAUUUACUAGAAAUCUAGAUACAAUAGGAAUUCUUGACUAACUAGGAAACUAAAGAAAAGGAAGAAAAUAACUAUAAGAAGAAAAGAAAAAAAAAUCCUACAAAACAGGAAUUGACAGACAUGAUUCCAACAAGGAUGUAAGGCAAGAAUUUCAUAAUGAAAAGCAAGAAAAGUGCCACUUGAAUAAUCUAAAGUUUGUGAUUGUUGAGCCUUCACAUUUUGAAAUCCAAGAUGAUUAGACUGAGUUAGGAAAAUUUGAGCAGCAGCUUCUAAAGAAAAGUUGAUGAGAAUGAGUAAGAAAAGUUUGAGGAAUUGAUCCUAGGGAAAGAAGAUAAACAAACUAUGGAGAAGAGGGGUGAGCAUUGGUCGGUGCGUUACGCUUUGAAAAUGAGCAAAACUAAAUAAAUCAAACACUAUUUAUCAAAGUUGAACUGCAUUUUGGGCUUAUCAAAGGUCAAAAGACUACUACUAGUAAAUACUAAACACAAUUUUCUAUAACGUUCAAAGUAGACCUGAACAAAAUUUUUUUUUUUGGACAACUCAAUGACCUUAAUACCAAACUUGCAAGUUUUGAAAAAUAAAAGGAGGCAAUAACACACUAAUGUGCCAGAUCAAUCAUCAAAAUGGAUUAUAAACAAAAAGAUAAUGAAUAGGAGAUAUAACUUGCCAUGAGAAAGACAUUAACCGAUUAUUCAAGCUUGAUGGCCCAUGUCUCUAAAUUACUGAAUGGCAAACCUUAUGGUGGCUUGUCACAGCCUCCUUCUCAUCGUCAGUAAAAGUUUUGGGUUGAAAAUUUUCCUAUUAUACCGAUUUCUCAUUUUCUCACAAAGUUGUUGCUUGAACUCGAAAUCACUUUCUGCAUGUGGGGAAUUUAACUUGAUCAAAAAAAUUAGGGAAAACUCAUUAAACAAACAAAUAUAUAUAUCUACCCAAUGGCUUUUAAUAAAUGGGAAAAGAGGGGAUUAUAAUGCAAAAUGUUUUGGGAGCUGAAAGAAGGUCAAGUUUCAACAAUUUCUAAAUGAAAUUGAGAUUGCAUAGAGCGUAGGUGGGUAGGGACGAGAAAUCAAAAUAGGGAGGAGAAAGGAAAAGAAAAAAAGAGGAGCAAGGACAAGAAAUCUAAUCAAGGAGGAGAAAGGAAAAGAAACAUAGAGGGUCAAUGACAAGAAAUGGGGAGGGGCAAGGAAAAGAAUCAGAGACGGAACUUGAGAGAUAAAUUGAGAGUCAGUGCGCAAUGAGGGUGGCAUUCUGUAUGAAUUGUGAAAUGAGAAAGGGAAAGUGAAGUAACCCUAAAAGUAACUUGUAAAACGUUGCAUUUAAUUAAUUUGAUUCAGUUUAGUUUGUUAUAGAAGUCUAUCCUGUAAAUAGUUACGUGUAGAGAAAUGUUCUUAGUUUGUGAGGAUUCCGAGCUAGUAUAGGUUUCCUAUCUAAUGUAGUAAUCUUGGUAUAUAAAUACCUGUGUACUCUUAGUUGAAGAGAUGCAGAAAAACUACUUU
rnacentral:misc_RNA from 1 species